ACAAGGAGAAUUUCAGCCAGCUCUAGGGAGAAAAGAGGGGAGAAAAACCAAGAGAAAAUAAGAGAAAGAACAAGAAAAAAUUCUGGUUUUGUGCAACCCAUACAACAAGCUUGGGAGUUAGAGCAAAAGAAAGCUAAGGAACUUGGUUCUUGAAGUGCAACCUUGUGAACCCACCUUUGGAAGGUAAAACAGCCUUGAACCCUUGUAAAAACUUAUAGCAAUUGAGUAGAAAUGUUGAUUUUGAUGUUGUAAGAUGCUAAUAAGGGUUAAUGAUGGUUUAUAUAUCACUUUUGUGGGUUUGUGUGGAAAAUUUGGUGAUUUCUACGGUUGUUGAGAAAAUUCCAGAAUUGAGAUUUCUUAUGGUUCAGUUCUGCCCGUUUCUGUUUGAGUAUGUUAGAGGCCGAAUUAGCCUUAGCACAAAACAUGAAAGUUGUAGAUAAUGAUGUUUUAUAGUUUCCUACAAAAUUUCAACUCAAUCGGAGCAACGUAGCCUAUGAAAAGACUGAAAUACCCCUGCUGCCCUGUUUCUAUCCGAACAUGCUAAUCAGCUUCUGUAAUUGGUUGGUUUGACCCGGAAUACUACUGCUUUGGUUAUUGAUGUCUUCUUAAGCAUUAUAGCCUUGUAUCUUAGCUUUCUAAUGGCUUUGGAAUUACCUGAAUUGGAGUUGUGUGUGCUGAGAUAUGAGUGAAUAAAGCAGGACUGCUAGUUGAUUUCUGCAGUGAAUUUCGAACUGGAAAAUCUGGAGUUAUUUUGGUAAAUUUGACAUAUUUAGGGUGAGAACUGGACUGAGUGGUUUUCAUGAAAGUUGUAGGGAAUGAUAUUUUAGAGGUGUCUACAAAAUUACAGGUCAAUCGGAGUAGCGUAGCUUGAGAAAAGACGGAAUUACCCUUGCUGUCCUGGUUUUACCCGAAUGCUAGAAUUGCGCCUGUAAUUGGUUGUUUUGGCUGGAAUUGCUUCCGAAUUGGUUGUUGAGGUCUUCUAAUGAAAUUUAGCCCUGUUUCUUAGCUUUCCGUUGGUUUUAGAAUUUCUGGAUUUGGACUUGGAUAGCCUGAUUUAUGAUGUUUCCGCUAGAAUACGUUCUGUGAAUCUGUUUUUGUGAUUCUAGUGUAGUAUCUUGUAUUUUUGACCUGGUUACACUAGAAACUGGGUUGAGUGACCUUCUGCAAUAUUGUAGCCCUAUCUCUUAGCUUCGAAACGGUGUAUCUUGCACCUUCAUCCGAUAAUCGUAGUGCCUUUGGUACCAUUACCGCAAAAUGACGUCAAAACUGUUUUUCUGGUUUUGAGCUUAACUUUCAUUUCCGAACUUUUCCCUAGCUUGACUUGUACUAGUACUACUUGGAGCUUGUUGAAUGGCUAUUGGAUGAACUUGUUGUUGUGUGUGUACCUUUGGGACUGGCUGAAGAAAUAAUGAACCCAUGAUGGCUGGAAAAGUUAGCAAAUUUAGGGGAAGUGCUGUCCGAACUUUGAAGGGACUUGUUUGCAUUGAAUUUGUGAUCUAAGACUUGGAUUUGAGCAAAGCAAUGUUAUAUGAUGGAUGAUUCUGAGCCAUGGAGGUGAGUAACUCUAAACUAUUUCUGAAGUUAUUUAUGAACCGUUUCCUGCAUUAUUUACUUUUGAACUGUUUCCAAAAUUACUUUUGAACCGCUUUCCUGCAUUAUUUACCUUUAAACUGUUUCUAAAGUUACUUUUGAACUGUUUUCUUGCAUAUCAUGCGUGCUUGCAUAUGAGUGUUCCUUGUUUGCUAUAUUUCUUGACUUAUUGGCUUGUUAUUAUUGAUUUAUAAUGUGUUAAGUGCUUUUGAUGAUUGUUAAAACGAGUUUUCUAGGCGAGUGUGUACUUUAUCGCACUCGACCUAAAUAAAUAUAAAUUUACAAUAAUUAAUGAUUAAAUGCUAGUUGCGCAUGAAUGAAAGCCGUUUGGCUGAAUUAGGCCCUGCCCUUCGUUACCGAUCGACUCGAGUCAGAAGCGGACUCGGUCGGGCGAUAUGGUGACCCUGGGUGAAUUUGGUAUACUCGAGUAUUACCUUGUAGUCCGGCUACGUCCGGAUGGGUGGAGUCCAGCUACGUCCGGAUGGGUGGAGACCGGCCAAUGUCCGGAAAAAAAAAAAGAUGAACGAAUAAAAAGAUGAACGAGGGAUUAUUUAUAAAAAAAUGAACGUAUCCUUUUCAUGAAUGUUACUAUCGCUUUCCAUUGUACAUGUUUCUUGAAUUAUUGAUACUCCAUAUUUAAUGCUUUGUAAAUGCUGUAAUCGUUUCUGGACUUAUCAUUUGAUUUAUGACAUCAUUGAAAAGAAAUAUUGUUAAACCGAUUUGAUUACUGAUUUUCUGGUUACUCGCUGAGCUUCUAACUCACCCCAAAAAUAUUUUAUUCCCCUCCACAGGGCUCAAGGCGAAGGCAGGACUUGUUGUGCUUAUUCACGUGAAUGGAUGGCCUAUAUCUUGUACAGUUUUGGAUUUGGAAUUAUUUGAUGUAUAGUUGAGAAUUAAUUUCCGCUGCAUUUGUGACAUGUAAUUAUUGGAGACUUGGAUGUAUAUUUGUGGACCAUGUGAUGUAUAUUUGAGGUUUAUUCUUGUAAUUCAUUUGAGGACUUUAGUGAACGACUCACGACUGAGUCCCGACGAGAGCUGGGCAGACGGUCCGCUGAACCCCCUGGUUCGCCCUAGGGGGAGGUGGGGCUGUCACAUAAGUCUUCAUCUCAUUACCAAUUCAACCAUUUAACUUGAUUUCAGGCCACUAAUCACUCACCAAGUUUAAAGUUUAGAUUAUUAGAAACCAUGUUUCUUAGCUUAUUAAACAAGAUACGAAAUUCCAACAAUCUUUCUCACAUUUCUCUUCAAGAUUUGUUAAGUUUAUUAACUAAGAAUGAUGAAUAUAUACAAAUACACCGAAUUUAAAGUCUUGUGAAAUAGUUAGACUAAGAUUAAAUCAUUUUCAAUCCCACUUAAAGAGUAGAACUGGAAAAACUUUUCAUUUCUUCUCUCUCGGUCAAAUCAAUUUCCAAUCAACUUUGUUGUUUAAGUUCUCUCAGAUUUCAUCUGCUUUUCAGGUCUCAAAUUCACUAAAAUGGACGUGAACGAUAGGGUCAAGAUGUUAUAAGAUGUUUUAUACAAGAUUACAACCAAUCAUCCUGGAAUUUUUUUUUGAAAUAUCAUAAGAGCUUCAUCUCCUCCCUCUCUCGGCCGACAAACAGAUUUCCAGCAACAUUACCUCAAGGUUUUCAACAAAGUUCCAUCUUUUACUUGGUUAAAACACUCAACACUCAGUAUACACUCUGUCCUACCUAAACUAAAACAAAUAACAUGUAAUUUGAGCAAAUAAUCCCAACAAAAGCAACAAUUAAUUCUGUCCUCAGCUAAAUGCAACUUCCAGCAGUUCGGCAGUUAAGUACAAGACUAUUUCCCUCAAUUUCUUCAUUUUCCUCACCCCCAACUUAACAUGCAGAGAGUAAUUAUCAAACUACAGAGUUUUUAAGCAGCAAUAUGAAAUUUAUUGCCAAGAAUUUGAAGAGAAAAGCU
rnacentral:lncRNA from 1 species